UGUAAGAUUUUAAAGGUGGAACAGACCUAAUAUUUUAGCUUCUACACCGAAAAUUUAUUUUAAUCCAACAUCGAGGUCGCAAUCGUUUUUUUUAAUGUGAACUUUCUAAAAAAAUUACGCUGUUAUCCCUAAGGUAAUUUUAUCUUAUAAUCAAAAAUAUUGGAUCAUUUUUUCAUAAAUUAAUGAUAUAAAAUAAAAAAAGUUAAUUAAAUUUUUCAAUCACCCCAAUUAAAUUAUUCUUUUNNAAUAUUAAAUUAAUACUUAAAUAAUAAAAUUUUUAAAUAAUUAAACUCUAUAGGGUCUUCUCGUCUUUCAAUUAAAACUAAGCUUUUUAACUUAAAAAUAAAAUUCUAUUAAAAUUUAAUAGAGACAGCUAUUUUUUUAUUCAACCUUUCAUUCCAGUUUCCAAUUAAAAAACUAAUGAUUAUGCUACCUUAGCACGGUCAAUAAACCACGGCCAUUUAGAACUUCAGUGGGC
rnacentral:rRNA from 1 species